rnacentral:tRNA from 1 species
GGGGGUGUAGCUCCAUGGUAGAGCAUUUACCUAAUGUGCUCAAAGUCUGGGUUCAACCCCCAGCACUGCCC